rnacentral:tRNA from 1 species
GCUCCUGUAGCUCAGUUGGUUAGAGCACGGUUCUUAUAAAGCCGGGGUCAGUGGUUCGAGUCCACUCAGGAGUACCA